rnacentral:rRNA from 1 species
CCAGACUCCUACGGGAGGCAGCAGUGAGGAAUAUUGGUCAAUGGCCGAGAGGCUGAACCAGCCAAGUCGCGUGAGGGAGGACGGCCCUACGGGUUGUAAACCUCUUUUGUCGGGGAGCAAAGCGAGUCACGUGUGACUCAUUGAGAGUACCCGAAGAAAAAGCAUCGGCUAACUCCGUGCCAGCAGCCGCGGUAAUACGGAGGAUGCGAGCGUUAUCCGGAUUUAUUGGGUUUAAAGGGUGCGUAGGCGGACGGUUAAGUCAGCGGUAAAAUUGCGGGGCUCAACCUCGGCGAGCCGUUGAAACUGGGUGCCUUGAGUGGGCGAGAAGUAUGCGGAAUGCGCGGUGUAGCGGUGAAAUGCAUAGAUAUCGCGCAGAACUCCGAUUGCGAAGGCAGCAUGCCGGCUCCACACUGACGCUGAGGCACGAAAGCGUGGGUAUCGAACAGGAUUA